rnacentral:rRNA from 1 species
GAUGAACGCUGGCGGCGUGCCUAAUACAUGCAAGUCGAGCGAACGGACGAGAAGCUUGCUUCUCUGAUGUUAGCGGCGGACGGGUGAGUAACACGUGGAUAACCUACCUAUAAGACUGGGGUAACUUCGGGAAACCGGAGCUAAUACCGGAUAAUAUUUUGAACCGCAUGGUUCAAAAGUGAAAGACGGUCUUGCUGUCACUUAUAGAUGGAUCCGCGCUGCAUUAGCUAGUUGGUAAGGUAACGGCUUACCAAGGCAACGAUGCAUAGCCGACCUGAGGGGGUGAUCGGCCACACUGGAACUGAGACACGGUCCAGACUCCUACGGGAGGCAGCAGUAGGGAAUCUUCCGCAAUGGGCGAAAGCCUGACGGAGCAACGCCGCGUGAGUGAUGAAGGUCUUCGGAUCGUAAAACUCUGUUAUUAGGGAAGAACAUAUGUGUAAGUAACUGUGCACAUCUUGACGGUACCUAAUCAGAAAGCCACGGCUAACUACGUG